UUCUUAUACCCUAAUUAUAAGUAAAAUCUGCUCCAUGUAUAAUAAAUAGCCGCAGAAUAUUAACUGUGCUAAGGUAGCAUAAUCAUUUACCUUUUAAUUAAAGGUCUGUAUGAACGAUUUUACAUUUAAAUUACUUUUUUGUUAACCCUCAAUUAAAAUUAAAUUAAACAUAAAAAUGUUUUUAUUAAAAAUAAAGACGACAAGACCCUAUUGAACUUAACUUAAGUUAAGCUGGGGAAGCUAAUUAAACACAAUUUUAAUUUUAAAAAUUUUAAAAAUUUCUGAGAUAAUCAACUUGACCAAGUUACCAUAGGGAUAACAGCGUAAUAAUUCUUUAAAGCUCUUAUUAAAAGAAAAGAUUACGACCUCGAUGUUGAAUUAGAAUUACUUUAAGACGCAAUAGGCUUAAAAGCAGGUCUGUUCGACCUUUGAAUUUCUACA
rnacentral:rRNA from 1 species